CCUUCCGUAGGUGAACCUGCGGAAGGAUCAUUACCGAGUUCUCGAGCUCCGGCUCGACUCUCCCACCCUUUGUGAACCCACCUCUGUUGCCUCGGCGGCCGCCCCGCGCCGUUCGGAGGACCUUCAAACUCCAGUCAGUAAACGCAGACGUCUGAUAAACAAGUCAAUGAACUAAAACUUUCAACAACGGAUCUCUUGGUUCUGGCAUCGAUGAAGAACGCAGCGAAAUGCGAUAAGUAAUGUGAAUUGCAGAAUUCAGUGAAUCAUCGAAUCUUUGAACGCACAUUGCGCCCCUUGGUAUUCCGAGGGGCAUGCCUGUUCGAGCGUCAUUACAACCCUCAAGCUCUGCUUGGUAUUGGGCUCCGUCCUCACUGCGGACGCGCCUCGAAGACCUCGGCGGUGGCUGUUCGGCCCUCAAGCGUAGUAGAAUACACCUCGCUUUGGUGCGGUCGGCGUCGCCCGCCGGACGAACCUUCUGAACUUCUCUCAAGGUUGACCUCGGAUCAGGUAGGGUUGACCAUCGCUGAACUUAAGCAUAUCAAUAAGCGGAGGAA
rnacentral:rRNA from 1 species